rnacentral:tRNA from 1 species
GGGGUUGUGGCUCAGCAGUAGAGCACUUGCCUAGCAUGCGUGAGGCACUGAGUUCGAUCCUCAGCGCCA